UGUUGCAUGUCAGCAUGUGUUCCUGAAAGUUGUUCGAAAGCAGAUGAUACUUUUUAACAAUUAAUUGUUUAUUACUACCAUCGUUACAUUUACCUACAACAAUUGUAAAUAUUGAGGAAAUUCCACUGCAAUUUGUAAAGCAAACUUUCCGAAACAAAAAGUUAUCAAACCUAAUGUGCAGGAAACUAUAAAUUGGUACCUCGUCCUGGCAAGAAAGAAUCCUGGGGUGCUGGAUCCAUGAUCCCAAAAUGUCAACUUAAAAAGGGAAACAUUCAUAAUGACUUAUUGUUCAUUUGCUGGUCUCACACCAGGAAGAAAGGUGACAGGAUGAAAACAGUGAGAGGGAAUUUGUCUGCGAAUAAGUUUGGCUUUGAGAAAGGUGACAAAAAGUUUGAGCUUUUGAUUCACCGAUAAUAGAUUUCUAUGCUGCGUUGCGUUUAUAAUGGCUGAUAUAUCUAUUGAAGUUGAAACAUCAAGACUUGUCAUAAUAUUCUGGUUGGUAUUGCAAAAUAUUUUCUGCACGUGAAAUUACGAACAAGUGUUCCUUUGAUGUCGCUCAGGUAGAAAAAUAUCCUAAUCCCCUUUGGCCACGUAAACUGAAAAAAUAACAAACUUUCUAUUAUUCUUUU